UACGGAGGGUGCAAACGUUGCUCGGACUCAUGGGGCGUAAAGCGCACGUCGGCGGCCCGGUAAGUCGGAUGUGAAAGCCCUCGGCUCAACUGAGGAAGUGCAUUCGAAACUGCUGGACUUGAGUACGGGAGAGGGAUGCGGAAUUCCCGGUGUAGAAGUGAAAUUCGUAGAUAUCGGGAGGAACACCAGUGGCGAAGGCGGCAUCCUGGACCGAUACUGACGCUGAGGUGCGAAAGCGUGGGGAGCAAACAGG
rnacentral:rRNA from 1 species